CACGGAGUUAGCCGAUGCUUUUUCUUCGGAUACACGCAGUCCGGGACACGUCCCGGGUUUUGUUCUCCGACAAAAGAGGUUUACAACCCAUAGGGCCGUCUUCCCUCACGCGGCUUGGCUGGUUCAGGAUCUCUCCCAUUGGCCAAUAUUCCUCACUGCUGCCUCCCGUAGGAGUCUGGUCCGUGUCUCAGUACCAGUGUGGGGGACCUUCCUCUCAGAACCCCUACGCAUCGUCGCCACGGUGGGCCGUUACCCCGCCGUCAAGCUAAUGCGCCGCAUGCCCAUCCUCUUCCGAUGAAUCUUUCCUCGAUCUCGGAUGCCCGAAACCGAUAUACGCGGGAUUAGCCUCCCUUUCGGAAGGUUGUCCCCCUGAAGAGGGCAGGUUGCAUACGUGUUACUCACCCGUGCGCCGGUCGCCGGCAAGGAAAGCAAGCUUCCCUCCCGAUGCCCCUCGACUUGCAUGUGUUAAGCCUGCCGCUAGCGUUCAUCCUGAGCCAGGAUCAAACUCU
rnacentral:rRNA from 1 species